UUGACGGCUCAAUUUAUGAGUAACUGAUAAAAUAACACCGAUAAAUUAUAAACAAUUCUGGCAGCUUAAAAGAUGUAAAAGACUAUUUAUUAAGCAUUUCCUGCCAGACUUACUGGUGUAAACGAAGAAAUUAGUAAGUCCCUGCCUUCUUCGGUUUGCGGAUCAUACACCUUGAAUUCCUCACCGAAAUCACAGGACACUCCGGCGAAAAUGCCACACGCACCCACACUAAUAAACGGGAUGUGUUUACUCCCGUUCACACGUAGUGAUUCAUUGAUAGCGAUCCACAGCGAUAAGGGAGUCUCAGUGGCGAUCACACAGCUGAAGUGCUUUAGUAGGUCUUCAACGGUAUCCUGCGACAAAUCAUGCUUGAAGAUCUCCACCGUUACGCCGGGCUUCAGUUCCGUACUUUACUAAGGCAUGCGUCCAAUCGCAGUCGUUCCUCACAUCGUCUUCGGUAAUGUAAAAGUUUCUAGCGAGAUCCAUCCAGUGGAUUCGACUCCCUGACGUCUAACGAUUGGUUUCGCCGUUAGUUCGUUACGUGCCGUGACGGUUUAUCUGCGUUCUUGAUUGAUAACGAUUAUGGAUUCAGGAGAACCAGACGGAUUAGCGUACCAUUCGGGAGUUCGGGAAUGUCGUGUUAUUCACCGGAAACUAGAUUCUGCGGACCCCGGGCGCUCACUCAUGCAAAUCUUCUACGAUGAGUGGCAGCUGCACCAGAGAGCGGGGAUCGACUCAGUUUUCACCAAGCGCAUUAUCCUGACUAUCCUCAUCCUCCUCCACGCUCUGCACGUUAAUGGAGAUGAAGGCCGGCGCAUAGGAGGCCCGCCGUGACCUUUGGGUCAUAAACUCCCCCGGGUGCUUCGGGGAGGGCGAUUUUGAACUGGGGUAGAUGGGCGGCAGCAUUGAUGGUAAGCCGACGCGGUAAUCGGAACGCCACACUCAGCCACCACAAUGUCGCCGGAUGUUUGGCAGUCACCGGACACACCGGUCCAUUUGUGAAACUCCCAUGUUUAGUGCAACAUUGUCUAAUAAUUGACAUUUCAGUUUCCAGCCUUAGCUUUGUACGUGUUCUUCCGAGGUUGUGAAUAUAUCAAUGUGUUCAUUUGUUUUGACCAAGCUCCUGCAUAAUGAGUGAUUUCGCCGGUUUGCUGCUUCGGUCCUUUUGUGCUGAAGUCAUUUUGUGUUUUGUGGAUGUUUUUGUGAAGACGGCUCGCAGUUUUUGAAAGUACUGCUUGAAAGACAAUGGUUUGCCAAGCAGUUUAUCCGCAUCCUGUUGAUAUUGAACUC